UACGUAGGGACCGAGCGUUGUCCGGAAUCAUUGGGCGUAAAGAGCGUGUAGGCGGCCACUUAAGUCCUGCGUGAAAUCCUGCGGCUCAACCGCAGGCGGUCGUGGGAAACUGGGUGGCUAGAGUGCGGGAGAGGAGAGUGGAAUUCCUGGUGUAGCGGUGAAAUGCGCAGAUAUCAGGAGGAACACCGGUGGCGAAGGCGGGACUCUGGGCCGAUACUGACGCUGAGGAGCGAAAGCGUGGGGAGCGAACAGG
rnacentral:rRNA from 1 species